AGCUUACCGGUCGGAUGAUGGGCGAGCCUGAUGUGCGCAAUCGGGCACCAAAGUGUAAUAAUUGUGGAUUAACAUUAGUUUGGCAUUCGCUCAGAAAUCCUUCAAUAUUUUUUUUUUACGGCAGCCGUAUCCAAUCUGAAAGCAAUGGCCAACUCAACUGGAAAUGUGAGAGCGGGUAAUAAUACCGAGUGAUUCAUCAUCUUCUUCCUGGAAGCAUUUCAGUAACUUCAGGAAUGUAACUGGGAGAAGCAGAAUAAAUUACAAAAUCGCGUACGAGACAAAGGAGAAGGAACCACGACACAAAAGAAGAACCCGUCGAACGUCGUAAAAAGAUCAUACUUUGCUGCAAUUUGCUAGUGUUCGCAUUAUGACUAAUAGACCUGCAUAAAAUGUACAUGUAUAACCACUAAGUAAAAUAAAGGAAUCUUAGUCGCA